GGAAACCUUACUAGGGUAAGACAUUGGUAUGAUUGACAGAUUACUUGAUCUUUCUUGAUUUGGUGGGUGGUGGUGCAUGGCCGAUCUUAGUUGGUGGAGUGAUUUGUCUGGUUAAUUCCGUUAACGAACGAGACCUCAGCCUACUAUUGUAGUUGCAGUGUAUUUUGAUACGCUCGACUUCUUAGAGGGACUGUCAGUUUUUAGCUGAUGGAAGUUUGAGGCAAUAA
rnacentral:rRNA from 1 species